rnacentral:lncRNA from 14 species
AUGUUAGGUUCUUGUUCAUCCUUCUGUCACAGGAACUGGUGCCAGUUUGGGACUCUCUCAGGAUCAAUUAUGAACUUUCUAAACUUCCCCUCUGUGCAGUUCCUACUAAAUUUUGUUGUUUCCCACCCAGACUGUUCCCGUGCCCCGCCCUGGCAGGUCCAUUUCUGCUUUAGAAAGGCAGCAUUUCUGCCCUGCUGUGGCCAGAUUCUGGGUCCACAUCAUAGAGAGAAGCUGGCCUCAGGACUUCUUUCUCCCACUUCCCUGGGACAUCUUGCUGGGGCUGGCUUCCCCCCUGCAGCAUGCACCAGACCUGACCACAGGCUUUGCAGCAUGUGGGGAAAGGAGCUCAAAAGGAGAUGA